ACGAACGCUGGCGGCAUGCCUAACACAUGCAAGUCGAACGAGACCUUCGGGUCUAGUGGCGCACGGGUGCGUAACGCGUGGGAAUCUACCCUCAGGUUCGGAAUAACUCAGAGAAAUUUGAGCUAAUACCGGAUGAUGACGUAAGUCCAAAGAUUUAUCGCCUGAGGAUGAGCCCGCGUAGGAUUAGGUAGUUGGUGAGGUAAAGGCUCACCAAGCCGACGAUCCUUAGCUGGUCUGAGAGGAUGAUCAGCCACACUGGGACUGAGACACGGCCCAGACUCCUACGGGAGGCAGCAGUGGGGAAUAUUGGACAAUGGGCGAAAGCCUGAUCCAGCAAUGCCGCGUGAGUGAUGAAGGCCUUAGGGUUGUAAAGCUCUUUUACCCGGGAUGAUAAUGACAGUACCGGGAGAAUAAGCUCCGGCUAACUCCGU
rnacentral:rRNA from 1 species